rnacentral:lncRNA from 1 species
UCCGAUUCACAAUAUAACUCGUAUAAAAAUUUCAAAUAUUUUGAAUCUUACUUUCUCGACUCCGAUUCACAAUACAACUCGUAUAAAAAUUCCAAAUAUUUUAAAUCUUACUUAAAUAUAACUUGUAUAAAAAUUCCAAAUAUUUUAAAUCUUAUAAAAAAAUAAGGGGAUUGAUUCGUACCCGAGAUUCCAAGCCCAGACAUACUUUCCCCCAAAUGUUACAUUCCUUCAAUCUGAACCAUCCCCAAUUCAAAUUCACUGUGUCGCCUCUAAAAGCCAAAUACACCCAUAACUUGGAUUGAUUAUUGCGGCUGAGCCCAUCCAUAUCUCCUUGGUUGAGUAUUGACUGUCAGUGCCGCUGAAGAAGAAAUGAAAUGGUGGAAGCACUGCAAGAGUUUUUCGAAAGAAAAUGGGAGAAGUGGUGGGG